CAAAAACUCAUAAGUGGGACUCUUUUUUUCAUUUGAGUAGUAGUUCCUUAAGAGAGCUUCGAAGAUCAAUCAAAGACAUCUUUAAUAGAUUAAUAGAUUCAUUCUUGCUUCUUUCAUCUACCUUUGCAAACAGAAGAAGAUCCCGUUGAGAAAGUAAUAAUGAAAGUUAACUGACCACAUUCUCUACGACACAUCCAACACACCGAGAUAAAUAAAUACCAUACCGAGUAAAUGGGGAUUCUCCCAUGAACGAAUGUGCAACUUGCCAGAUUUGA
rnacentral:lncRNA from 1 species